CCUCCUUUGCAUCUUCAUCUGCACUAUCAAUGCAUACUCUUACAUGUCUCUCUUCCAUGGUCCAGAUUGAUUUCCAUCUGGUACAACUCUUCUUUGCCUGCAUGCCUUCCUUGGCCGUAUAUUUGGUGGCUCAAUAUGCUCGCUAUGAUAUGAGAAAAAUGGAAGCAGUACAUACAUAAAAUUUGGAAAUAUGGGUACAAGUACUUGAACAUAGACCAAAGUACUUUUAUAUCUAAAAUUGUAGCCCCUGGACAGCUCUACUGCAAGAUAUACGCUGCUCUCAAGCUCUCACUCUGUGGAGCUGUAUCCAAGGCCAUAUCUGUCCAACUUGAAUGAAGGUGGGGUUUAAGAUUAGGUCUUUGGUAUUACACCAAAAGACUUAACCAGUUGAACUAGCCAGCCCCUUCUACAUUAAGAUUCAGUUUACAGGAUUGGAAUUGACACUGGUUCUAUUGCAAACUAAAUUACACAGCUAGUAUUUGCUUAAACAUUUGGAAGCAUUUUAAAACCAUUUCAUUUUACAUAUGAAGUUUUUUGAACACGGUGAACAUAGGCUAGAACUUCAGAUAAUAUCAGCAUUAGCAUCAUAAACUGCUAAUGUGGCUGAUCCAGAUGCUUCUUUUAUCACAGACCUUACGCUGUAAUAGAAAAAUCAUAAGUAUUUUUAUAAAUG